AUUGAACGCUGGCGGCAUGCCUUACACAUGCAAGUCGAACGGUAACGCGGGGCAACCUGGCGACGAGUGGCGAACGGGUGAGUAAUGCAUCGGAACGUACCCAGUAGUGGGGGAUAGCCCGGCGAAAGCCGGAUUAAUACCGCAUACGACCUAAGGGUGAAAGCGGGGGACCGUAAGGCCUCGCGCUAUUGGAGCGGCCGAUGUCAGAUUAGGUAGUUGGUGGGGUAAAGGCCUACCAAGCCUUCGAUCUGUAGCUGGUCUGAGAGGACGACCAGCCACACUGGGACUGAGACACGGCCCAGACUCCUACGGGAGGCAGCAGUGGGGAAUUUUGGACAAUGGGCGAAAGCCUGAUCCAGCCAUGCCGCGUGCGGGAAGAAGGCCU
rnacentral:rRNA from 1 species